AGGGUAGUGUGAGCAUUACAGCUGCAUGUUGAAAUUGACCAAACUGUCCCUUUAAGGCAGGCUUACAGGCCGAACACAAAGAGCCGCCUAGUACACCCUUGAUGACGUAUCCGGCCAGAUGGUAUAGCACACAGGACUCCGCUUUUGUGGAAAUGAUUCUGCUCCUACUGCAUGAGACUGCUGCUGUUGAUGGGGAAGUGCUUUUGCCAGAAAUGGCUUAGUUGCAGGUGGUGGCUUUCUUGAGUUGCACUGAUAAGGUUGAUGCUUUCAAUGCAUUGGAAGUUCCAGCAUGUUCCAGUGAAUUCCAAUUCUUCAUGCAUUAUUGAUUUCACACACACACACACACACACACACACACACACACACACACACACACACACACACACACACACACACACACACACACACACACACACACACACACACACGUCUUGUCAUGUACACAGACAUGCCGUUUUAUUCAUAGUUAUUUUGUUUGGGCUGUUUAUGUUUCUAUUUGGAGUAUUUUUUUUAUUUCAAAUAAAAGAUUGAACCAUUCAAGCACAGGUUGUACAGCUGUGGGUUAUUUACUUCAUGUUCAUUGCAUCAUGUUCAUGUUCAUUUGCAUCCUGCAUUGAGUGGUUUGACAGGUCUGAUGAUGACCAGCAUCAUAAAGGCUGAAAUUAACAAAUGCUAUAUUACUGUAGGCCUACAACUGGGACAUGCUGGGUUUAUGUAUUUAUCUUUUUAUGUAUUGGAAGUAUUUUAUCCA